rnacentral:rRNA from 1 species
AGUAAAAUUAAAGAAAUUUAACGGAUUUGGCGGCAAGAUAGUCUAUUUAGAGGAACCUGCCCUAUAAACGAUGAUCCACGAGAGACUUUACUCUUUUUAGUAGUCAGUUUGUAUACCGCUGUUGUCAGUUGGUUUCUUUAGAAAACUUUCAGUAAUGAUAUAUUCAUAGACUUCAAGUAAAGGUGCAGCUUAUAAAGGAGAGAGAGGUGGGUUACAAUUGUAAGAACAAAAAACGGAAGGUGGGAUGAAAAACCGCUGGAAGGUGGAUUUAAUUGUAAAAUUUUAAAUAUUUUGAUUUAAGCUCUGUCUUGUGUACAAACCGCCCGUCGUC